ensembl:miRNA
GCCGUGGGCAUCUGGCACUGUGGCUCCUGCAUGAAGACGGUGGCCAGGGGCGCCUGGACCUACAACACCACUUCCGCAGUCACAGUUAAGUCUGCC